GACGAACGCUGGCGGCGUGCCUAAUACAUGCCAGUCGAACGCACAGUUUAUACCGUAGCUUGCUACACCAUAGACUGUGAGUUGCGAACGGGUGAGUAACGCGUAGGUAACCUGCCUGGUAGCGGGGGAUAACUAUUGGAAACGAUAGCUAAUACCGCAUAAUAUUAAUUAUUGCAUGAUAAUUAAUUGAAAGGUGCAAUUGCACCACUACCAGAUGGACCUGCGUUGUAUUAGCUAGUAGGUGAGGUAACGGCUCACCUAGGCGACGAUACAUAGCCGACCUGAGAGGGGGAUCGGCCACACUGGGACUGAGACACGGCCCAGACUCCUACGGGAGGCAGCAGUAGGGAAUCUUCGGCAAUGGACGAAAGUCUGACCGAGCAACGCCGCGUGAGUGAAGAAGGGUGUCGGAUCGUAAAGCUCUGUUGUAAGAGAAGAACGGGUGUGAGAGUGGAAAGUUCACACUGUGACGGUAGCUUACCAGAAAGGGACGGCUAACUACGUG
rnacentral:rRNA from 1 species